AUCGCGUAGCAUUAUUUAGGUUUGUAAUAUUUCCGUCGAUAUGCAUUCAUGUGCAUAAUGCAUUUCAUUCAGGAACGUUAAUUAAUCGCGUGAUGCGGAGAAAAAGACGACCCAAGUCGACCCCAAGCGCGGGCUAACCCGCAGGAUGAUGUUGAUGGACAGAACCGAAGAGGGAUAAUCUGGCGAAUGUCAAGACAGAAGAUGAUCGCCAAGUGGUCGCCUAACAAACACUAACCUAGUGUUACUCAGGCAAGCCCCGGUGCAUGCAACCCCUUCCUUGUGUUUUUAAAUUAUUUUUGCACACUUUAAGUCUAGUGAAAUGUGCAUUAGGUUUAUAGAAGUUGCUUGGAAACCCUUCGAUGCAUUGCCUACCUUGAAAUCCAUCCCUUUUAUAGAUACUUCUGGUGAAGUAUCAAAAUAUGAUUUACAAAAAAAUGCUUAGCCCUGCUUAUAGGCAGAUAGAGUUUGUCCUUUGCACUUAUGCCUAGCUCAGGUUGAUCCUGAGGAAGGAUGACCUCUACCUGCACGGAUAUUUUCAUUGGGAGCAUGGUGGGAUCUUACUGUAAAGUUCCCUAUAAUGCUCUUUUCAUCCUAAGGAAUACAAACAAUCCUAAGGGUGGAAGUACUUAAAUCGGGACUUGGGCUAGGAACAGGUGAUGCUCCGCCCGGGUCAAUUAAGGAUUGGAUGCGUAUGUAGGCCUGAUAGAUCAAGGACUAUCUUAACUGGCCACAUGCCCUGGAAAUGGGACAGGGUAAGCUUGAACCCGGCUAUUCCAUACGUGAAAAGACAACCGCGCACUAGGCGUGGGAGAUGGUGGGAGUAGCGUGUGCCCUCCUGGCUAGAGGCUGGAUGGAGGAGUACUGUGCUCCCGGGUAGCGCGGACCGGUUCACGUUGUGGAGGAUCUGUAGGAAUGGUUGACAUAUGCAAGGGUUAAGUGCUACAUAUGUCGUGUGGUUAGAGAUCCUCAGCUGAGUAAAUCGAUUCGGAUCGCCGUUAUAUCCCCGGAGAGUGGAGACUUGAUCACUGACCUGCAACCUAAGUCAGGAUGUGAACCUCAUGAAUAAAAAUGAUGUUGUAUUGAUGAGAUGGUGAAAUUAGACCAGAUGCAAAUAGAGUCUAUUAAUAUUUAAUCUGGCGUUAAAAUAUUGAAAGUAAGGACUCACUUUAGUAAGCUAUUUCUGCAAAAGUAUCUAAGUUGAUUCUUGCUAAAGCCUCUCCUUGAUUCCCAAAUCCAGCAUACCCUUGAGAGUCUUUUCUUUAGUCGUGUAAGUCUUGCUGAGUAAUUCCAUACUCAGGGUUUUAUUCCCUGUUGUUUUUCAGGUUCUAGCUUUGUGCUGCUUUUGAUGGUGUUAAGUGCCGGUGGGCUCGGCCUUCUUAUAUAAGUAUAACCCGUCUUUAUCUUCUUACUGAGGAUGGUCAUUUGAGCUAGCAUAUAUUUCAAACUUAUACUUUUGUAAUCACUCCGAUAAAAUAAUAUAAAAUUUUUGUAACUUGUAAAAUUUGGUAAUAAGAUUUCCGCUGCAAAAAUAUUGGUGUGUGUGAUUUGUGUUACUUAAUCUCGCGGUUCUGGUUGUAAGUGGUUUAUCCGGUGUCCUUGGGGCAAUCGGACGGAUCCUGUUAAGUUAUCUGGUGCACAUGCAUGGCCGUCUGAGGCCUUUGAGACAAGGACAGGUGCAUGUGGGCCCGAUAACUUGGAGGUUCUGCCACAAUUUUAUCCUCUAAACUUUGAUAAUAGUUUCGUUUUUUCUAUCCUCAUUGUCUUGUUGUAUUUUUAAAGCUUUGCUCAGUAACAAGCUCUACAAAAAUGAACUCGAAAUUAAAAUACUUAAGCUAAUACGAACACAUCAGUGGUAACUUGUAGAAGGGUUCUUACUUUGAAGUUAGAAUAAAGCAGGCUGCCUAUGAUGUGAUGACGCAUGUAACAAUUGAUAUCCUUCUCAAGCUUUGGGAAUCCGACACUCUUCGACAGGGUGCCUAUAAUUUUUGCACCAGCACGAUCGCGGAUGCAUCCCAGGAUUUCUUCGUCGACCCCUCCAAAGAGUACCGACCCAGGCUAGUAACCACAUGAGAUCGCAAAUUCCCUUAACUCUGAUUUGUCCUCUUCAGAGAGUUGUUGGCCGCCCAAGUGUCGUAGGUCGAAAUUCACUCCCUCUGAAGAGGUUUCAUCAAUCUCUUUUCCCUUGUCUGAAAUGGUUGCGACCACCUCCUUCUCCAUAGCCACAUCUGAUAUCAGAUUAUCAAUCUCGGACAAAGUGGUUGCAAGUUUUUCACCUUCGGCUGUAGCAGUGGCUUCGGCAUCGGUUGGUUUGGCAGCUUUGCUUGCCGAAGCUGAAGGGGGGGUUUGUUCAAUCACUUGUAUAUGUUCACAAUGCGUCGUUUCUUCUGGCCCCUGUCUCUUCCUUCUGUAGCUGAAGAUACCUCCUUUUCCUGUAAGAUGUUGGUUAGUUCCAAUCCUAGAGGACUUAGUGGUGUGAAUGGGAAUGACUCGGUCAUUACCUUCAAUAUUUUUGAGACCUCAGCAGCAGAAGACGAAGGGCUUGCAAUUGGUUUCAGCACAUCUUGUGUCUUCGUCUUCUCUAAUGAUUCCACAGCAAGCUUCCAUUUCUUAGGAGUCAGUUCCUUCGGCUCCGUCGCUGUUUUCAUCUUCUUCAAAGCCUCUUGGUCUUCCUUCACAGACCAGGUAGCUUGUGAUAGUAGACGCGGCCCGAUCUUCCGUGAGAUACGAUAACUUGAUUGAGUGGAGAUCUCGACGUUGAUGAUCCAAGGCUCCGAACGAAUGGUUCCUCGCAAUCACUACACCACGGCUCCGUUGGUUAUCACCCGUGACACACGAAUGACCUCGCCACGAAGGCUUAUCCCUGCAAGCGCAAUCAAUAACACAAGCAAGAACAGGAAAGAAACACAACCAAAAUUGUAUUGAUUACGGGAUGGGGUCUCACAAGCCGAUGACGGCGACACUGUUCAAUGACAGAAUUGAUCUAAGCAAAACCCAAACCUAAAUGUGGCGGUGGCUGCUGAAUAAAUAGAGUAUUAGGGCGUGCGUGACCCCUGGACUCGCCCCUAAUGGGCUCCGACGCGAUACACGGCCCAACGGCCCAACAGACGGUGUCGCAGCACCAAAACAGAAUUUGAACGCUAACUUGUUUCGACGAUUCCCGUUGACUCCGGACGAAUUUUAGGGUGAAACCAGUUGGGUUGGUUAGAUAAUCUCGUUAUCUUUCCAACCAUAUCCAGUAUGUUGCAAUUGGAGUCCGGAUGCAUCUUGGGCGUCCAUUUUAGUGCAGACUGGUCCUGGAACCCAAGAUGGAGUCGUAGCCGAUUCGGACUUGAUCUCCUUCCUGUUGUGGACGCCCUUGCUGCUCCUCCUCAACACCUUGGCCUUUCCCAAGUCCUUGCUGGUCCUCUCCAAGGUACCUAAUCAUCAAAACAUCCAUGGUCCCAAGCGUAAGCUCUGAAACACAAUUGACUAGGGUAGAACAUACCUGGAAAUUUAGCUGUCGUGCAUGAGAUCGUGUUAUCGGUCCAUUCAUUGUAUGUAUAGAAGUGAUGUCCUCAUCCUCCUUCUCCUCUUGAAUUGGAGUCGUCCUCGACUCGAUCUCACCUUCGCCACCCAUAUAUGGCUUCAAAUCUGAAAUGUUAAAGGUGGAACUAACCCAAAAAUCUGGAGGUAACUCAGGUGGUAAUCCAGGGGGUAUCUCAGAGGGAAACACAUCCAUAUACUCUUGCAAAAGGUUAGCAAUAGCCGGUGGCAAAGCAAUAGAUGUAUCAUCAAUGGAAUAAAAACAUUUUUGCACACUAAGGCACAGCAAAGUCCAACAGAGGCAUGUAACUCAUCAAGAUCAGAUUUAAUGGCUAGCAAAGUAGGAGUUUUUAACUUAAUAGGUUGCUGAUUUUUAGAGUUCAAAACACCUUUUUGCUUAGCAUUAAUCUUUUUCUCAUGUUCUAAGUGGACCAUUUCAGUGGGAGUCAUAGGAAGCAACACAAUUUUCUUUCCCUUAUGCAUAAAAGUAUAUUUAUUAGAUCUACCAUGGUGAAUAGCAUCAGUAUCAAACUCCCAAGGACGUCCCAGUAAAAGAGAGCAAGCAUCCAUAGUCACCACAUCGAAAUCAGCAAAGUCAUGGUAAGAGCCAAUAGAAAAAUGCACCCUUGUUGUUUUUGUUACCUUGAACUUACCGCUGUUGUUAAACCAUUGAAUGUGAUAAGGGUGUGGAUGCUCUCGUGUGGUCAAGCCAAGCUUCUUGACCACCUCAACGUUCACCAAGUUGUUGCAGCUACCACCAUCAAUGAUGGUAUGUACACGACAGUCCUUGACGAUGAGGAACAUGUUGAAAAGGUUGUGGCGCUGUCUGUUAUCGUCGUCACUAGUCGUGGUACUCAAAGCUCGUUGCACAAUCAAGGCCUUAUAGGUCUCGGUCGCUAUUGUACCAAGAACCUCUUCAUCACCAUCAUAAGUCUCUGCAAUGUUAGCUCCAACAGUAUCUUCAUCUUCAACAUCAGAAGCACUAACAUACCCACCAUCACCAGUAGCAAUGUAUGCCCGUUUGCUGGGGCAAUCUCGUUGAAUAUGACCAAGUCCCUGGCAGCGGUGGCACUUGAUGUCGGAGGAGCGGCCUGUGGAAGAGGUGGUCGUAGCAGGUUUUGUUGCAACACCCGAAGGCACCAAGGACUUGCUGUUGUCGUGUCCCUGUGAUGCCGAAGGUGCGGUGCUGCGUGUGCCGUUGGUGGAGGAAGAUGUGGACGUCUGUACGCCCGAAGAGGAUGACACCUUGGCUGGCAACGGUGGCUGGUGUGGCACGAAAGUGCUGCUCCUCCGCUGUUGACGACCCUGCAAUUCUUUUUCUGCCAACAUAGAAAGAUGGAACAAGCGUUGUAUAGAAUGGUAUUCUUUAUAAUCAACAAUAUCCUGAAUCUCCCGCCUCAAUCCCCCAUAAAACCUAACCAUUUGAUCCUCCGGAUCCUCAACUACCCCACAUCGUAGCAUACCUUUCUGAAGCUCUUGGUAGUAUUCUUGUACCGACAUGUCUCCCUGAUCUAAGCGUUGCAAUUUUUUUCGAAGAUCACGUCUAUAAGAAGGGGGAACAAAGCGAGCUCGCAUCUCCUCUUUUAACGCAUUCCAUGUUUGUGGUGCAGCACGUGUGCUAACAAGUUCAUUCCACCAAAUGAUAGCAAAAUCUCUAAAUUCACUAGUGGCUUGUCUAACCCUAUGCUGCUCAGGAACAAGAUGGGAAUUAAAUUUUUGUUCUACCGUCAUCUCCCAGUCUAAGUAAGCUUCAGCAUCAUAAGAACCCAUGAACGGUGGAAUAGAAAACUUAAUCUUAGCAAAUGGAUCAUGAUCUGGUUCAGGAUUAUGAUGACGACGUCUACCAUUACCUCCCAUACCUUGUCGAUUACGUGCGAGGCGUUGUGGCAGCGGUGCAUACACAUCAUCGUCAUCCACAAGAGAGUGAGCUGGGGCUGGAGUUGGUGGUGGGGGACGAGCCUCCAGUACGUCCAUGAGUGUAACAAGUUCAUCAACUCGUCGAUCAAGCUGCUCAUAGGAUGUCGAGGCAGAGUCCUGGUAUUUUUUAAAAGCUUCAGUCAUCGCGCGCAUCAUCUCCUUCAAUUCCAUUUGAGAGAUACACUCAUCGUCGUUAAGUUUAGGCCCCUUGUCCUUGUCCAUUUGAUUCUUUGGUCCUGUCAUUGUUAGCACAAAGCAAAGAUAAAAAAAGGCAACAAACAAUGUGAACCCUACAACUAUCUCUCAGGGCGGUGGUGGACUACAAAUUAUGAAGCGUCUUACCCCGCUCUUACAAUGUUCUUGCCAGCACUGUAGGUGGCAAACGGUGACCGGUGUGACUGUCCAACGAGCGUGGGUGUGAUUGCAAAGGAGUACCUGUUCUGCUCCAGAGAAAAUUGGAGCUAUGGGAAGGCUGACUAAUUAUAUAUAUGUGGCACACAAGUCAGUAACAGAUAGCAAUGCUGAAUAAGUGUUCCAAGUACUCGUCCUAGUUGCUGGCCUAGAAAAUGUAAUAGAACAGUUGGACCAAGGCACAAGAAAGGAGGUACAAGUAUCUAGGUGCAGCAAGAAAAUAAGCUUGGGGCAAAAUAAUCACAGAGGUGCACAGAACACUGGCGUUUCUGUUUAUGUGCUACUCUUUUCUUUUUUUCUCUCUAUUUUUUUUGCGAUUUUUUUUCAAAUAUUUUUUUUAUAUUUUUCUCUUUUGCAGCAGCACAUAAGAAGAAAACACACCAAGUUUUAGAUUUUUUUGUGCAAUGACGCGUCCUCUGUAAUUUCUACAAGUUUGCCCUAAAAUCAAAAUAAAUGUUUGGAAAACGAGAAGUCCUAUUUCCAAGCCGAAUUUAGGAAUUUUAAAAACAGCGAAUCCGACAAAACGGGAAAGAAUCGGAUACAAAAUUUAAUUCUGUGUGAUUUGAAAAAAAAUGGGCCCGAUUCGAGUUCCGAGGCGAAAGUUACGGCUGUUUUAAGUUUGGACUCCGAAUCAGGAUUUCUGGCGAGGUGUUGGAAGAGUGGGAGUUCGGUUUUGUGGAUAGGGUCGGUUUUAGAGAUAUGAUCUAUUUUAUGGAUAGGGUCGGUUGUAGAGAUAUGAUCUAUUUUGUGGAUAGGGUCGGUUUUAGAGAUAGGAUUUGUUUUGUGGAUAUGGUCAAUUUUAGAGAUAAGAUCUGUUUUGUGGAUAGGGUCGGUUUUAGAGAUAGGAUCUGUUUUGUGGAUAGGGUCGUUUUUAGAGAUAGGAUUUGUUUUGUAGAUAGGGUCGGUUUUGUAGGAUGGAAGCGGAUGGAUAGAAUUAAACUGAACCCAAACAAAUCUAAUCUAGCAACCAUACUCAACUAGAACACGAACUCAAAAAUGCGAACUCUAAAACUGAAUUGUGCAAAGGCUAAGGCGAUGGUUUUAGGUCGGAAUAAACUGAUCGUAUUUUUUGGCUUUUUGUGGAAUAUGGGACGAAACAAAACUAAUCUAAAGGUAGAAUUAUACCUCACGGGCAACCUGGAAAUUUGAUACCAAUUGAUAGUAGACGCGGCCCGAUCUUCCGUGAGAUACGAUAACUUGAUUGAGUGGAGAUCUCGACGUUGAUAAUCCAAGGCUCCGAACGAACGGUUCCUCACAAUCACUACACCACGGCUCCGUUGGUUAUCACCCGUGACACACGAAUGACCUCGCCACGAAGGCUUAUCCCUGCAAGCGCAAUCAAUAACACAAGCAAGAACAGGAAAGAAACGCAACCAAAAUUGUAUUGACUACGGGAUGGGGUCUCACAAGCCGAUGACGGCGACACUGUUCGAUGACAGAAUUGAUCUAAGAAAAACCUAAACCUAAAUGUGGCGGCGGCUGCUGAAUAAAUAGAGUAUUAGGGCGUGUGUGACCCCUGGACUCGCCCCUAAUGGGCUCUGACGCGAUACACGGCCCAACGGCCCAACAGACGGUGUCGCAGCACCAAAACAGAAUUUGAACGCUGACUUGUUUCGACGAUUCCCGUUGACUCCAGAUUAAUUUUAGGGUGGAACCAGCUGGGUUGGUUAGAUAAUCUCGUUAUCUUUCCAACCAUAUCUAGUCCGUCGCAAUCGGAGUCCGGAUGCAUCUUGGGCGUCCAUUUUAGUGCAGACUGGUCCUGGAACCCGAGAUGGAGUCGCAGCCGAUUCGGACUUGAUCUCCUUCCUGUUGUGGACGCCCUUGCUGCUCCUCCUCAACACCUUAGCCUUUCCCAAGUCCUUGCUAGUCCUCUCCAAGGUACCUAAUCAUCAAAACAUCCAUGGUCCCAAGCGUAAGCUCUGAAACACAAUUGACUAGGGUAGAACGUACCUGGAGAUUUAGCUGUCGUGCACGAGAUCGUGUUAUCGGUCCAUUCAUUGUAUGUAUAGAAGUGAUGUCCUCAUCAGCUUGCCUGCUCAAAAUGCUGACAACUCUUUUUCUAUUUGCUCCCCCGGCCCCAUCAUCAAGUCUGUCAUAAUCUGGGUACUCAAAAUUUAGGGCGUCCAUCACCCGAUUCAACCUUCGUUUCAGCCGGGUGCCGAAGGCAGCAGUCAUUAACUGAUCUUCUUUCUUCGUGUAAUUUCCAAGGAUUUCAUUACACAUGGUUUCUAUCAUUUCUAGCCAUUCAGUACAUGGUUUUUUGAAUUGCUUUUCAAACUUGAAACGGAAGGGGAGUCAAACAAGUUCAUAUUUUUCCCUCCUUCCUUCUUCUUCGGCAUCCCCCAACCGCUAGAGGUUGAAAAAAGUUUUCUUCGCCAGAUAUUCCUGCAUUAAGUCCCUAGUGCUAAUUUGAGCAGCCACCACUCUGAAUUCAUGCAUCCCAUGAUUUCUUCGUCGACCCCGCCAAAGAGUACCGACCCAUGCUGGUAACCACACGAGAUCACAAAUUCCCUUAACUCUGAUUUGUCCUCUUCAGAGAGUUGUUGGCUGCCCAGGUGUCGUAGGUCGAAAUUCACUCCCUCUGAAAAGGUUUCAUCAAUCUCUUUUCCCUUGUCUGAAAUGGUUGCGACCACCUCCUUCUCCACAGCCACAUUUGAUAUUAGCUUAUCGAUCUCGAACAGAGUGGUUGCAAGUUUUUCACCUUCGGCUGUAGCAGUGGCUUCGACAUCAGUCGGUUUGGCAGCUUUGUUUGCCGAAGCUGAAUGGGGGGUUUGUUCAAUCGCUUGUAAUAUGUUCACAAUGCUUUGUUUCUUCUGGCCCCCGUCUCUUCCUUCUGUAGCCGAAGAUACCUCCUUUUUCUGUAAGAGGCUGGUCAGUUCCAAUCCCAUAUGACCUUAGUCAUUACCUUCAAUAUUUCUGAGACCUCAGCAGCAGAAGACGAAGGGCUUGCAAUUGGUUUCAGCACAUCUUGUGUCUUCGUCUUCUCUAAGGAUUCCGUAGCAAGCUUCCGUUUCUUAGGAGUUAGUGCCUUCGGCUCCGUUGUUGUUUUCAUCUUCUUCAAAGCCUCUUGGUCUUCCUUCACAGACCGAGCAGCUUGCCUGCUCAAAAUGCUGACAACUAUUUUUCUUUUUGCUCCACCGGCACCUUCGUAAAGUCUGUCAUAAUCUGGGUACUCCAAAUUCAGGGCGUCCAUCACCCGAUUCAACCUUCGUUUCGGCCGGGUGCCGAAGGCAGCAGUCAUUAACUGAUCUUCUUUCUUUGUGUAAUUUCCAAGGAUUUUAUUACACAUGGUUUCUAUCAUUUCUAACCAUUUGGUAUAUGGUUUUUUGAAUUGCUUUUCAAACUUGAAACGGAAGGGGAUUCGAACAAGUUCAUAUUUUUCCCUCCUUCCUUCUUCUUCGGCAUCCCCCAACCGCUAGAGGUUGGAAAAGUUUUGUUCGCCAGAUAUUCCUGUACUAAGUCCCUAGUGCUAAUUUGAGCAGCCACCACUUUGAAUUCAACUUCGGCCAGCUGGCAUGGGGAGCUGAGUUGCAUGUUGCACAACGGCCUCGUCAUGCCGAAGCUUAAUCUCAGAGGACUCAUUACCAUAGUCAUGAGUUUUUCUCUCUUCUUCUCAUCAGCCUUCACAUAGAACCAUUCGCUAGUCCACCCGGUCGGCGACUUAGUGCGGUAGCCAAUCACCGGGGCCUUAGUGUCCUUCCGGUAUGCAAAAUUAUAACAUCCAAAGUUUUUGUGAAGACCAUCGGAUCUAGCCUUCGUCUGAUAAUGCAACUCAUACACUCGGCAGUACCCUUCGGCAUUGGCACUUUUACCCUGGCUUCGGAGAGCCCAUUUGUAGACAUUGAUCCUGACAAUGGCAUUCGGUGUCAGCUAAUGGAGAUAUAUUUCAAAUCUUUUCAAAACUUCCACUACACGACGGUUGAUUUACAGUGACCUACGGUUGGUUGCUAAAAGCGCCUUCAGCGACCUACGGUUGGUCGCUGAAGACUUUUAGCGACCCAUAAGGAUGGUCGCUGUAAGUGCUAUCGCUAAAGGCUUUAGCGACUAACAUAUUUUUAACAAUCGACCGUAAGUUGCUGAUGUUAUACUUUUAGCGACCAAUUGUUGGUUGUUGUAUUAAUGUUAGCAACCAACUGUUAGUCAUCAUUAUAUAUAUUUAACAACCAACUGAAAGUCGCUCUGUUUAUAGUUGUUAUUAAUAAUAAUAUACAUAUAAUUAUAUAUACAAAAGAACCACAAACCAUAGAUUUUUAUACACAUAAUCACAAAGACAUACACAGUUGAUCAGUAUACCACAAUCAUAAAUCCAUCACAUAAACAUAAGCACCACAAUUAGAUAUAUUCACAAAAGCACCACAAUUAUAAUAUCAUUUACAAAAGCUCCAGAGUUGAUCUGUCACAAAAGCACCACAACGACAUCACUCUAGCUUCAAGCAGUUCAAAAGCCCACAACUACACUAAUGCUUGACAUCACUACAUCUAUAGUUCAAAAGGCCACAACUACAUCACUCCAUAGCUGAUCAGUCACAAAAGCACCACAACUACACUAAUGCUUCAAGCAGUUCAAAAGCCUUCACACAACCACUACAACUUAUUGUAUCCUCCUGUUUUAAGGAACAAGCUUUCUUUGUCCAGAAUGCCCUAUAAAAAGUACAACAAAUUAGUAUAUUGGUGCUACAUUUGCAAAUAAAAAUACAAUUUUGCUGCCUUAUCUACCUCCACUAGACGGUGUUGUUGCCUUUUCUACCAACUUCGGUUGAUGCAAUCAAGGAUAGUUGAUUAGUGAAUUAUACUCAUAUAAAUCUAAACAUAAACAAGAUAAGAUAUAGACUAUUACUUUCCACAUGGCACAAGGACAAGGCAAAAUUGUAUCUCGUUUCAGCACACAAGUUAUAAUAACUUCACAAUAUUGCCUUCCAAGGGUCAAACUUCAAGAUGGCAUAAGUUCCAAAUGUCAAAUAUUAAAGCUAAGGAUCAUCCAAUCAUUUGUGACCUAACAUUACCAGUCAAUGUACUACAUCAUCCUAACAAGACCAGAAGGCACACUUCGUGCCCCUACAAUGAUAAUGGCUAUGAUAAGUCAUAUCAAAUGAGAAUUAUCACAAAAUUAGUAAGCCAUAAUUUCACAGCAUAACACCAUAAUUUGUUUUGCCUAGGGCUGCCAUUCCUCCUCUCUAAUCCCCCUCUACUUCCCCCAAUUCUACCCUCUAAUUAAGGGGAAGUCACGCCUCCCCCAAUCGGAUGUGACACUAAUUCUGAAUAAUUAAGGCCCUAAGCACUGCUUUCACCUUAAAAGCAUCAUCUCACAAGUAGAUAAUAGUUCUGGAUGCUCGUGCUCUUUGGAAGGUCAUGAGCCUUUGUAGCAUGUACAAACUCCAUUACUCCAUAUAAGGUCUUAUUUGAAACACCAAUAUAGUGAAUUAUGAUAUUCUCGAUUUUCUUUUGUAUGAGCUAAUAGAACUGAGACAAAAACAUAGAACUACUAAAUGUGCCUCUAUUUACAGAACAAUUGCAUAUGUUGAAUAGCUAUCAUUUGUCUGAAAAAUACUUACAUGACUAAAUUCACCAAAUAGUGCCACAUACCUAUUUAGCCUGGAGACAUAAAGAAAAACUUUGGAAUGGAGGAUGUUAAAAUAGUAUGGCUCAAUUAAUUUAGUGUUAAGACAUAGUAUGUCUGCAAAUACAUAUAUUACCCAUUACAAAGCUAACCCAAGGACUGCUACCUGCCUUGACAUUUAGGCCUGUUAUUUCCUCUCCUAUAAAGCUUAAAUGAUGGGGGUUUUUUUAUUUGUAACAAUAAAACACAGCAAAGGAGCCGCCUAAAAGGAAAAUGGCAACUGACCCAGUUUAUAUACAGAACAAAAAUAGUUUCAAGAGACCUAGGGCACCCUGCUAACUACGUAGAGAGGUAGUUACACACAAUACAUUUCUUUGUCUGUACUUCGCAGGUAGGGAAGAAGUGGUAAAAACCUAGAGGAAUACAGAAGGCAAUGUGCAUAGUAUUUGUAGGGAUAAGCAAAGGUAACAUUACAUAACCUCAAAUGUUUUGUGAAAAGUUGCUUCUUAGCUAUCUGGUCUCAUGACUAUACGGUAGUAUUGUGCCUGUUAGUGGGUUAUAGUCUGCGUUUCUGUGACUUUUAUUUGCAAUAAUAUUUUACUCACUUAUAUUAAGGAGGACCAACAACAACCACCCUCUCCCAGCAUAAGCAAGUAGGGAUUGACGCAUAUAAGGAAAAUGUGUGUUAUACCUCCUCAUCGAUCACUACAAGAUCAGAAUGCAGAUGUUUUUUAUCAUCUCCAGGAUCAUAGAAGUCCCAUGUCCUAGUAACCCAAACGCAUAGACGCUCGCUGCAAAUGUCAUGACAAGAAAAAUAGAGCAAAUGUGAGGAUCUAUUAAUCCUGCACUCAAUAUGAACCAAGCUCAGGGGAGGGUGAGUGCGUGCCCUUGGGGAAAUCGUCGAGCGGGAGGGCCGACUGUAGUAGACACGAGAUCUUGAGGAGGCACGUGUUUAGGGCAUGCACCUAGGGGUCCAUCUCAGUGGUGAAGUUCUUCAUGAAGUCUUAGAGCAUGAUAGUCAGGCGUCACUCGUCCUCAGCACACCGCGUCUUACGCUUCUGUCCCCCAGUCCCCCCUCGUCGCCGGAGUUGUUGGCUGCGGAGUCGUAGUGGGUGCGACGACGGAAUGAGUCUCCGGCGCCCGGGCCAAAGCCAUCGCUGUUGUGGUGGGGCUCGGAAGAGUUGCUGUGGGGCGGGUUGGAAGAGGGCUCAAGUGAGGGAGCGGGCUAGGGUUUCGGCGGAAGCUUGGUCCCGGCUGCGCUACGGAGAGGUGGCGGCGCGCUGAGUGAGCGACGGGGUGGGGGCGGCACGACCAAGCGAGCGGGGUGGGGGCGGCGCGGCCGAGCGAGCGAUGGUGUGGGGGCGCGAUGGCGGUGUGCAGUGCGGGUGGCGGCACGCGGUGUGGAGCUCGGUUGUGUGUGGCGGCUGUGUGUGUGGUGAAAUAAGGUUUUUUGGUAAAUAGACUUUGAGAUGGGUACUGGAUUGAGAUGUGAAAUAGAACGUGGAUAGGGUUUUUCUUAUCCUGUUCUCGGCGUACUAGAAUAGAACGUGGGGCAUCUGUAAGUAAAUAAGAAAAACAACUAGCACAAUAGAUAGCAAAACCAAGGGUAGUCUAGUUGGUUAUGUCAUUCAUGUUUGAGUCAAUAGAUUCAAGGUUCAAAACCUUAAAAAUCGUUUUUUACAAUUCGUUUUCUUUUCCAUAAUUCUUUUUUUCUUUUCUACAAUUCUUGUUUUCUUUACUACAAUUUAGCGAUCAAUGUUUACUUGUUUUAAUUAAUUUUUAGUCACUAACAUCUACAGGUACGUUCAGGCUAUAAGAUUUGAUAGUGAUCCUUGCUCUAUAGCGACCCACCGCUAGUCCCCGACGACAUCUAUAGCGACCAACCAUAAAUUGUUAAAUUUCUAGACUUUUAGUGACCAACCGACCGUUGCUACAAAAGGAUUUAGCGACUGACCGCCAGUCCCUAACCUUUAGCAACCAACAGUUGGUACCUAAUAAGGGUCGCUAAAGAUCAAUCGUCGUGUAGUGUUCUCCUAUUAUAUCAUAUAGAGGAAACCACAGCCCUGCCCUGAAGAAGCUUCUAAACACAACAACUUCAUCUUCCUUCAGCUCCGAAAUCACUUCUUCGCCAGCAAAGCGAAUAAGUUUACUUUCAUCCUCCCAAAAUAGCCUAGUUUUUUCAUCAUAACCAGGUCCUCUUCUGUUACGGUCGAUUUUCCGAAUUCAAUGUGACUAGGUUUUGAUGGGCUUAGAAUACUGUUGUUUUCUUUGAUUCCAUCAUCACUUCUGUCUUCAACUACUUCCUGCUCAGCUUCGGUAGUUCCACCUUCGGCAAUAGUUCCUUCCGACACAAUUAGAUCUGAUCGUCUCAUCACUUCCGAUAUUGGCACUAUUUCUGUCACUUCAGCCUCAUCUCCCUCACGGGACACCCUAGCAGUGGAUCUUACUUGGGCCAUUUCAAGUGUUUUGGUUCCUUAAGACGAAGAUAAUUUCGAAGAUAAUUUCGAAUGACGAAGAGCUUGUUUGGAAAGCGCAAUCCAAAAAGCUUCGGCUUUAGUUAAAAAUUUUAACAGCACAAUGGUGCGAUGACAAUGAAUGUUGUGGUAACUCCUCACCAACAUGUCUGCUUAUAUAGUGCUGCAGGGGAAGAAGGCGAACUGCCAGACCGUCUACACUGACUGAACGGUGGAUCGACCGACGCUCAGAAUAUUUUAAUUGUUUUUCGAUAACAAGCUUAUGGAAGGUGUUUUUCGGACCUUCGGCAUUCCGAAGCCUUUGUGUUUUUCGCUGAUCGAGCUCAUUACGAAAAAACAAUCUAGCAUCGCGAAGGGGCUACUAUUGGGGGUCUUCUUCUCUACCGAAGGUCCUCAAGACAAAAACGCCUUCAUCAAAAUAAUACAAAGGCCGCUAAAGCUAUCAUCAACCUCGGUUCAGCCUCUAAAGACGAAGAUCUUGCGUACAAGCAACGUUGCAGAAUAACUUCGGCUCGGACUAAGCAAAGAAGGAAAAGGCUAGAUAGACCUUAUUAGUUUUAUUUUCUUGUAAAUAAACGUUCAAGGGUAUGGAUGUAAUUUCACCCGGGCUGCGUCCCGUGCCUAUAAAUAGAUGAACAAUAACACCGUACUGUUCACGCGGAAUUGUAAUCACACUCUCGCGACUUCAUCUUCUAAGCAAAGCAAGCCGAAGGUAUCAAUGUAAUAUUAACAUUGUUAAUAUUUCCAUGUGUUUUGCAAAAUGCAAAUAUAUAUAUGAAUUGAUGAAAUGCAGCAAUUAUCUUCGUUCGUUUAUAUUUUUAUUUAUAUAUUGAUCUAAUGAAGGUAUGUCCUUCUUAACCUUCGUAUAAUGAGCAUUUCUCCCUUGCGGAGACAAUGUUUCGGAAGCAUUUCUUCCUUGUGGAGACAAUGCUUCGGAAGACGAAGGUCAAUUAUAAUUAAUAAUUGUGUUGUAUUGUUCUUAAUUUAUAGCAUUCAAGAACAAGUGACCAACAACCUAUAUUUAUAGGGGAGGUCUGGACCUGUUUCUAAGAGAUAGUCAAUAACUUCCACGCGAUUAGAUGGAUAACCACACACGAGAUAAGGAUAAUCACCGAGUUAAUCUAAUCGCGGGGCACGUGGACUGUCCGGGCCCAAGAAUUGGACCUUCCGCCACUUUUGGUGCUCAACAAUUUCCUAUUGUCAUUCCUACUUUGCAGAAGUUACUGGUGCAACAACCAACUACACGUCAAUGAAGUAACUACUAACACUGCAUCAUUAGAAUAUUUUCCAUUGCAGAAUAAUCCCUCCAGUCCGGUGUUCUUUUUGUUUGGUGUACCGACCGGCCAGGUAUCCCCAAUUCUACAUUCAGGACUGUUGAGAACGCGUGGUUUAUUGAGCGAAGGGAGGUAGCAGCGAGGGGCUAACAACACGGUAAAUCUACAACUCAUCCGAGUCUUAGAAUAUUCGUAUUUUUUCUCUCUCUCGCGCGCGCUAUCUCUCUUUCUCUAACAACCUAGAAGAAAUUUUUAAGACAUUGGGGACGAGAGAGACAGCGACAAGAUGGAGGCAGCGAUGGCGUCCUCGGAGCAGGCGGACAGGCCAGGUCAGGACGAGGAGGACGACCAUGCAUGCAUGAUGGCGAUGUGGGAAGGGGAAGACAAGGUCGCCGUGGGUACGGUACAAUGUAGAAUCAGCUCGCCGGAGCUCCUCGGUCGUGACCGCAGCCGUAGUGCUCCUCCGAUGAGACCCAACCGUGCCACGGCAGGGCGGUGAGCGGCAGCGGCGGCGGCGCAUCGGGAGGAAGAAAAUGCAUGAAGAAAAGAAUCUCUCCCAAAACACUAGGGUCAUCGGGUGUGUGAUAUGACAGAUUCUAAUAAUAUGAUCUGUAUCUAGAUCAUCUCUCGGUACAUCAAAUACAAGCUUUACUGGUCAAUUAUAGGACCGCAGUUCCUACCCUAUGUUAGGGUAUGUACAAUGAUUGUCUUAAAUUAUGGCUUAGAGUGUGUCUAGAGUGUGAAUAUAAAAAAACUCAAGACAUUUAUCUUGACGAAGAAACAGUGUCUUAGCUCUAUGUUCGAGAAAAGAGACUAACUGAUUGGUCACUUUAAUUUAUUGAAUGAUCUGAUUGGUACAAUGAAUAUGGUAAGACACAUGUUUUAGACAUGACCACUGUAUUAUGUUGUGUUUUAGUUGUGUCUUAUACUUGGGUUACCGUGCAGCAGUGUCUAGGUUGUACAUGCCCUUACAUGGUACUCAUGUUGACUUCUGUUUCGUUUCGGCAGCUGGUUCCAACAAGGCAGUAACAUUGUUUAUGCCCCUGCUAAAGAAACUAGCUUAAGGGCACAAGUACUCUUGGUCAAUGAACUGAUCAAUCAUGCCCGUGGCCAAUUACCGCUAGACUUAUUGUAUUAUUCUCUUGGAGCUAUGCAGAAAAUAGUGUGAGUAGAGCUGAUCUCAUAGGCCGGAAAUGCCGGACUAUCGCUACCGUCACCAAUUACCCGAACGAAAAAAAAAAGAGGCGAGUUUUCAACUGCCAGAGCCACUCCAGCGCGCUCUAAUCUCGCGUCAUGGGUAUGCUUAGUUGUAUCGUCAUUCACGCUGACAUGAACAGUCGCCAACGUUGCCGAAUGCUGAAUCAAGGGUCCAUAGCUAGAGAAGAAGAGGUCUCAUUACUAUCUAAUCUAAAAUUAAAGAAGAGAAGAGGUAUCAGCCAUGAGCCCAAGAACCCGGUUUAUGAAGUUCUUCAUACGUACUCCAUGUUUCUACACUUGUGCACCAAAAAAAAACCUAGUUUAACAAAGUUUUCGCUGACAAAAGUGACAAAGAUGGCCGGAUUUAAGUUUUCAAUGCCAUGUAUGUAUGCAUCCAUUUCUUUUUUUUUUGAAAGGAAGGGGCAAAAGACUUGCCUCUCCGGAAUAUAUUAUAUUAGAGAGAAAAGAAAUGGGUAAUACAAAACCAAAGCGACUGGAGGCAGAGGAAAAGAAAGACAAAUAAAGAUGAAAUAAAAAGAGCAAAAGAAGGACCCACUAGAGCAGACCAAAAGGCCACAGCUACAAGAAAAAUCCGAAGACUGCAAGGGCCACUUGAUUAACGCUUCUAUGCUGACUUUGGAAAAUUCUGUUAUUUCUUUCCAGCCAUAAAUUCCACCAAAAAUGAAUUAGCAGGCCGUCGAAGCGUCUUCUUGACUGACUGUUGCAAAAGUUACGAAGACCCGUCCACCAAUCAUAUAAAGAUGUAUCGCUGAGAAUCCCAUAUGAGGGAGGAAGGUUGGCCCAGGACAACACUUUGUUCCACACCUCUCUACUAAAGGGGCAGUCCUUGCAUAAGUGAAGAAUAGUUUCUGGGGCCGAGUUACAAAGACAGCAUAUUGGGUUGCAAGGCCAACCCCUUUUAAGAAGGUUAUCAGCCGUUAGAAUUUUGUUAUGAAGUAAUGUCCAGGCAAAAAAACGGCACCUCGGCUCCGUCUUAGCCUUCCAAAUGGGGCAGAGAUUCAUUGUACUGUAAUUAGAUGAGAAUUGGAUGUUGUAAGCACUGCUUGCACUGUACUGCCCAUCUGCCGACCAUCUCCAAGUAAUGGUGUCCUCCAAACCAUUGAGCUCUUGCAUGUUACCUAUGGCUUGCCAAAGAGAGACGAACUCUCUAAGCUCAACCUCCCCCGAGCAUGGGAAGCAUAAUCGUAUCCAAUUGUUGUUAGUGAGAGCUUUGUCAACCGUGAUGUUCUUCCUCUUUGUCUUCCUGAAGAGUGAAGGCGCAAUGCUCUUAGGGGCUUGACCUUGGAUCCAGCUAGAAUUCCAGAACUCAGCUGUCUUUCCAUUGCCAACCGUCACCAAUGUGGAUGCAUUGAAGAGAUCUUCAUCAGUCUUGUCACAAGGAAGCUUCAUGGCAUUCCACGCCCUGUCUUUGCUUUUCCAUCGUAACCAAAGCCAUCUCAGUCUUAACCCCCUCGCAAAACGAUCAAGGUCCAGAAUUCCAAGACCCCCCUUGCUCUUUGGGAGGCAAGUUGUGGCCCAGUUGAUAAGGCAGUGACCCCCAGAGCAAGCCUCAGGAUUAUUCCCUUUCCACAGGAAGUUUCGUCUCAUUUUGUCAAUUGAAUGCAGCAACCAUUUUUGAGGCGGAAAAAUCGUUAGGUGGUAGAUAGGCUGUGCGGAUAGCACCGAUUUUACUAAAGUUUCCCUACCAGCCUUGGACAGCAGUUUACCUUUCCAACCAGCCAAUCUGUUGUUAAUUUUUUCGAUAAGUGGUUGGAGAUCAGACCUUUUAACAUUCCUGUAAUGAAGGGGCAGCCCUAGAUAUUUUCCAGGGAGGCUAGAGUACUUUGCAGGGAACACGUCCAUUAGCGUUGGCCAUAAUGGUGCCGGAUAUCGGAUUGGGAAAAUUUCUGUUUUGUCAUAGUUGAUCUUUAGUCCUGAACACCCCUCGAACGCGUUGAGAAUCCCUUUCAGCACCCCCAAGUCUGAUUUGUCCGCUCUUACAAAAACACCCGCAUCAUCCGCGUAGAGAGAGCACCGAAGCUUAGCUCCUCUAGGCAAAACCUGUCCAAGCAGUCCAUCCUGAGCGGCCUUCUCAAUCAUCCGAUGCAGCGGGUCCAUCGCUAAAAUGAAUAGGAAGGGAGAAAGAGGGUCCCCUUGUCGAACCCCACGUCUGUGCUUGAUUGCCUUUGAACGUUGCCCAUUUAAAAUUAUUCUUGAGGAGGACGAUCCCAGGAUUUCAGCUACCCAAUUGCGCCAAUUCUGGGAGAACCCACAGGCCCUUAACACAUCUAAGAGAUAUGCCCAAUUCAGGGUGUCGAAGGCUUUAGAGAUGUCAAGCUUGACAAAAAGAGCUGCAUCACCUUUUUUAUGCAGCUCCCUAAUCACCCUCUGCACGUAUAGAAAGUUGUCAUGUAUUGAUCGGUUCUGGAUGAAGGCGUUCUGAGCGUUGGAUAUAAUUUCGUUCAUUCUUGGCGCAAGCCUAUUUGCCAUGAUUUUUGUUAUAAUUUUCAUGAAGCUAUUGAUCAGACUUAUCGGCCUAAACCUAUCAAUUCUGUCAGCAUUUUCCCCCUUGGGUAUGAGGAUGAUGUUUGCUUCGUUGAUCAGAUGCAGGCUUUUGGAUCUGUGAUAGAAAAAAUCAUUUAUUGCCAUGGAGAGGUCGUUCUUGAUCAACUCAAAGCAGCAUUUGUAGAACUGUCCAAUGAACCCAUCCGGCCCAGGAGCCUUUUCAGAUUGAAGCCUCAUGAUCACGUCCUUAAUUUCACUAUCAUCAAUCAAGUUGUCCAGCUCAGCAAGCUCAAAAGGAGCAUACCCCAGAUGGUCCCAGCAAACAGCACUGCUCCUCCUUCCUGUCAUGCCAAGAAUCUGACCGAAGUGGUGCUGAACCUCGUACAUCUUGGCUUCCUGGCUCGUUAACAGCGUGUCAUCUCUAAUUAGUGAUCUGAUUAAAUUUUUCCUUCUUCUAUUAUUGGCCGCCAAGUGAAAGAACUUAGUGUUAGCAUCGCCCAAUCGCAUCCAAGUAAGUCUGGAAUGUUGUCUUGCUCGUGACCUCUGAGCAGAGGCAAUAUCCAGAAUCUUGAUUUUGAGGAUCCUCCUGAAUUCCAAUUCUUCAGAGGAGAGUUGUCUACUUUCUUGUGCUUUCUCCAGAAGAGUGAGAAUGAUCUGAAUGAUAGCCAUCCGCACUUUGAAGUUGCCAACUGUAUUGCGUCUCCAGAUCGAAAGAGCCUUGGCCGUGCGAGUCAUCUUCACAUGAAGGCGAAGGAUUGCGUCAUCAGAGUUAACUGUAGAAUUCCAUGCUUGAUGGACUACCUCAUUGAACCCCUCAAUCUGUGGCCAGAACGAUUCGAAUCUGAACCCCCGGUAGAAUUUGACCGUAGAGUGGCCUUGUAUUAACAGUGGGCAGUGGUCCGACGUCAUGGUGCACAUGGAGAGUAGAUCAGCUGCGGGGUACAGAUCAUGCCAUUCAGUUGUCGCGAAGAAUCUGUCAAUCCUAGUCAUGGUAGGGUUAGCUUGUUCAUUUGACCAGGUAAAUGCUCUAUCGGUGAGAUCUAGCUCUAAGAGGUGUAGAUCAUCAAUUGUGCUAUUGAACUGCCUCAUCACCCUUCUGUUGAUUGACCCUUUGUUUUUUUCUUUUGCUCUCCUAAUCAUGUUGAAGUCACCUAAAAUUACCCAUUCUGGCCUCACCAUGGUUUGAAUAUUUCUGAGCUCAGAGAGGAAUAUCAUUUUUUCAUUAUCCGGUUGGGGGCCGUAAACACCCGUGAGAUCCCAAACUUCAUCCACCAAUCUGGAAAAAAUCCGGACAGACAGCGAAUAGGCUGCAGAGCCUGGUAAGAGGGUCAAGUCAAAGUAGUCCGAAUCGGCAGCGAUUAGGAUGCCACCCGAAGCGCCCUGAGAAGGUACAUGAAAAGUUUGAUUUGCAAGCUUGGCACCAACAGUUUCCUUUAAUAAUAUAUUUGACCAGCUCGAGAUCUUUGUCUCUUGAAGGCAAACAAUGGAUGCGCCAGUGGAUAGAAUUGUAUGCCUUACGCUUGCUCUCUUAGCAUGGUCAUUUAACCCCCGCACGUUCCAGGAGAAAAUAGUGCAAUUCGGAUUCAUAAAGCAAUAGAAACCACUCUAGAUGAGACAGAACGCAGCCGCCAAUCAAAUCCCAGCCAGGGACCCUGCUGCAGCAGACCAACUGUGGAUAAUAAUAUCGAACAAGGAUUCGCCGAAUUAGAACAAAGCCCAGAACCAAAGGACAAUCUGGGAGCACAGGGAUACAGAGGCACGCUAUAGCACUGCCCAAACACACUAAAACUAGCAGGAAUUAAAAUGAGAAACAAGGGUGGGGUGGACCCGGAACCGCGCCAAAAGCGCCUAUCCAUCUGAGGAACCAUUGAUCAGCAAAAGAACCACCAACAAACCCAGUCGCAGCAGCUCAGAACCCCUUAGCCUUCCCGGCUUCGGCGGUUGGCAUCACCUUUCGACCCUUCUUUUUAGUCUUCCCUGCCUUCACGUUGUCUUGAUUUAUCAGCUCCAUGAUUGCCUCCAUUUGGCACUUGGUAAGAGGCCUUGUGAAUAGACUUGCGAUCUGCUCAAAUGACUUAUUAAAAUCAGUACAGUCUGAAGAACUAGAGCAGUCUGGAAUUUUAACUGCAGAAUUGUUAAGUUUGGCGCGAAUGAUUUCCUGGGCUUUGGAUAUUGCAUCUCGGUUAGUACCAGUGCUAAAGUUUUUUUUCGCAGCCAGCCUAACACUUGAUCUUCUAGUGAUGUGUUGCUUCUGAAAUUUUAAUGUAUGUGAUGAAUUGGUCGUGCUACUUUUCGGGAAAGCAGGGAUCAGUGGUGGUUCUGGUGGCGUUGUUAUUGCCGCGAUGAAGUUGGUCAACUGGGCAUUAUCGGGUAAGCUGUUCCCUGUCCUCAGAGCAGGAGUAGUACUCAAGGCUUCCUGAUUAAUGUUGUCAACAGGUUGACACAUUGGCUGGAUAUCGCUAACGCCCGGCUGAAAAUCUGGGCAGGAUAAAUUGUGGAUAGCUGGGGCACUCAUUUGGCCGAUCCGUUCAGCAGCUGGCAGGUUGAGGUGUACAGUUUGAUUAGCGUUCAGGAGUUGGGAGCCAAGCAGCUCAACCGGUUGGGCAGCUAAGGACUUGGCUGGACUAGAAAUAUCCAGGUUUAGAACAUUGUCUAAACCGUCGAGGACAGUAGCUGGCAAGAUGUGAUCUACAGCUUUAUUGUCGUUUGCCAGGUGGGUGCCUAAAAACUCAGUCGGUUGGAUAGCAGGGGCCUUGGCUGGAACAACAUUGUUCAGGGCCAGAACACUGUCUAAACUAUUUAGAAUCGAGGCGAAAACAUUAUUAAGAUCCACAGUAUUAGUUACCUUGCACUUGGAGGCAUCAGGUUCCUUGGAGGUUUCCUGGUUGGCACCGUCAACAGACCCUGGCGAGGCACCCACACCAGCAGCAAGCUCCAGGUCGCCUACCUGCGGCCAGACAGCAGAAACAGCAGGGUCUGCAAAAGAAACGGUGCUGCCCUUUCUCUUGGGCACCCAGCAGCGAGUUGGCGUGGCACCCACACCAGCAGCAAGCUCCCGGACGCCAACCAGUGGCCAGACAGCAGAAACAACAGGGUCUGCAAAUGAAACGGUCUUGCCCUUUCUCCUGGGCACCCAGCAGCGAGUUGAUGAUGCCAUCCCCAGACAAUGGCGACGGAACGGGGUUGAAUGCCUAUGCUUGUCGUUGGAGCUAUAGCAGUCCUCCAUCCCACCCCGGCAUCGCGAUGAACGCGCCCAACCGGAAAGACUUCGGUGCCUACGGUUUCCACUGCGUCUGCCACGCUGAAAGUUCCCCUCAUCAUCAUCGUCAUCCUGGCCCCAGCCACGACGCCCAGUCUCUCUACCUCUGAAAGUUUCUGCAUGUUCUCUUUUUUCGCCCAUAGAGUCUGGGGCGCCAUAGCUCCAGACAAAUUCUCUUCGCUGCUUGCGAUUAGGGGGGCCCCCCCUGGAUCCCCUCCCACGGAGGAAGGAGAGGUCUUCCACCACCUCGAUGUGAUUGCGAAGAGUGUAUACAUGACCAGUUUUCAGAUCGGAAGGUUCAUCAUGAAGAGCACCAGCAAGCGGCAAAGGAGCGCUAACUGGUGGAAGCUCCCUGUCCGGUUCUAAAACCGUAAGCUGGACCUCUUUGGGUAUGUCACAAGGGUCAGAGCACCAUGCCCAAAGAUCGAAGGACCUAGUGCGCUCUCUACGCCUUGUGCCCUCCUGCACAUAGUGAAUUGCACAGCUCUUGCCUAAGGCCUUCGAAGCCACUUCUUCCCCCCAACAGUGAACCGGAAUACCUUCAACCCGGACUUUAACUCUAAACUCCAGGUUCGUUUUCCUAGCAUUGCUGUCCUCUGACCAAUCUCCAAAAUGGAAAGUCCUAUCACGAUAUGAGACCGAACCCCUAUCAAGCGCCCACAGCUUCGACCUUGGAUCCGAGAAUAUGAUAAAAAACUGCUCAGGAAAGUGCUUGACUAGCUGAUACUGACCGUGGCGAAGGUUGAACUUCUCCCUUAGCAUAUCACCUGCAGCUAAAGUGUCAACCUCAUGGCUAUUGCCGUCGAAGGAGCAAACCACAGCCUUGUCAAUCAGCUCGUCCCUGCGGCGACGGAAGGAGCCGGUCGCCGAGACCGAGCAGAAGGCACGCGAAGGUCUUCCCCGGGGGUCUCCAGGGUAGCGAGCCUCCAUUCCUCGGUCUCCCUGCACAACCUGGAGGUAGGAUUUCUUGUGUAUGGGGGGCGGUUGACUGAGUGGCGCCUUACUGCGUUGCUCAAGGUUCCUACCGCAAUGCUCAAGGUUCUUAUGUAGAUCGUCAGUCCAUAGUCGUGCCUCAUGGUAGGUAGGGGUCCUUGAUGGUUGUUCGACUGGCUUAGGAAAAAACCCAGCAGCAGUGAAUGUCCCCUGAGAGCUUUUCCGGUUGCAGUAUCUCGCUCGAUGUCCGGAUUGAAGGCAAAGCCAGCAGCGCGAAGGAGCCUGGCAGCAAAAAGCUAGAUGAUCUGGUGAGAAGCAAUUGUAACAUUUGCCCUUUAGCUUCAAUUUGAAAAGACCAGUGCCCUUCACGUCGAAUUGAUGAUAUUGCCGUGUUCGCUCAGUAGACGUCCAGCUCUUGCGCCACCAGUACCGCGGUCUGACCACCGACCAGUCCCCUUCAAUGCCAUCCGACGCAGCAGGGUAUGGCCUCUGUCCAUUCAAACGCGGCGCGGCAUCGAGACCAGCAGCACGCCGAUGUGACCAAACGUUGCCCGAAUUCAAAUCCCCUUCCGGCUUGCAGGAGAGCUGGAAAUCCGGAGUGCGAUCUGCACCCACCUCGGCCUUUCCAGACGCCAGGAUACGCGGCAUUGAAGUCUGCCGAAGAGGAUCACCAAGAGCUGCCUGCACUGGACGCGGAUCUGCUUUGGAUUUUGAUCUUGUAUCCACCCGGGUCGUCGCAUAGGAGCCAUCGCCAGCUGCGGCGGACCAUUGAAGCUUUGAUUGAUGAAAUGGGACGCCCUUGUCUUGGGAAUCAUGAGCUUGCUUGCAGGAAUCAUCUCUGAUAAGAGCCUGAGAAAUAGGGAGCUCCUUCGCCGAACUUACCGGGUCGCUGAGUGGGGAGUCCGUCGCGCGCAGGGCCGCUCCGCGCCCGCCGAGAAGGGAGGGGCGAGCCCAACCCGCGGCGGACGGAGGAUCUCCCGGCGACUGGAAAGGAGGACCAAGGGAAGCGGCGGCGCCCUUCCCCAUCCCGCGCUCAACCCUAAACCUCGAACUGAUCUUUACCAAAACGCUCUAUAAGCAUGAAGCCAAAUUCAGGCCAGGACACAUGGGUGAGGCUCUGCUGAACCUGAAUGUAACCAUCGUCGUAUGCAUCCAUUUCAUUCCGCACUUGAUUAAGUUUGCGUCCUAGUCAUUAAUUACUUUGUGUUUGAAUAUUGAUUUUGUUCAAGCGAAUUCCCAACUGCUUGCUGUCAUCGUCGAUCAGCAUACAGUGGACCGUGGUCCUUUUACGUACCUCAAGCAAACUAACGAGUAAUGCGUAUGAAUGCCUUAUUCAAAUUAACGCGGCUGCCACUGAGAAGUUCCACACGUACACCACCAUCUUCCUAUCAUUGAUACUAGGCAGAGGUGUGUGUUUAGUCGUCAUUUUAGUUGAAACAUCUUUGGCUUCGAGGUAUUUAUUGAGCAGAGGCCCUCUCCCUAUACACAUCAAGCAAGAGUAAAGGUUACUGAGGUCCUGGUCCAAACCUCAAGAACUAAUUGCUAGUCGGCUAAUAAAUUGUUAGCUAGUUUUAGCGAGGUUGGAGCAGCUAAUAACUAACCGCUAUUUGAGAGGUAUAGUUAACACUUAGUUUGUCAAUUAGCUGACCCGUUGUAAAUCUCUAUGCUGAUUUUAGCUGUUAACUAACAGUUUUAGAGGUCUAGAAUAGGGUUACCAUAACCAAGCGAACAAAUAAAGAAUUUUUUUCUUAGUUUUGCCAAGUAUAUAUGCUUCCAGGGAAGUUGUGGUCAGGACCACGUACAUAUAUAGUAGUAAACUGGAGGACGUACGCGUGUGUCCGGUCCCCCAAUUUUCUGGUAUAACUAGCUAAAUGAUAUUUGUUAGGUGAACUCAGAAUAAAUUAAAAUAAACCUAUGCAUUGGAGCUGACAAUUCCACGAACAAGAAACAGCCUGUAGACGCACCCGGUUUGAUGAGGCAACCUUAUGUAUUGUAUACACUUCUUGUCACUAAUUAAUUGAAUCUAUGUAACCACAUCUGAAUUGAAUCCAAAACACUUGGGUUUUUUUUCCUCUUCAGCCAUCUUCCUCCGACGAGAUCCUACCGCGGCCGCAGUGACCUUCAUCUUCCUUUUCCCCCGCUGCCGACAUGGCCAUGGUCGCCCCAGGCCCCAGCCCUAAACCUGGUUCAGCCGCCUCCACCGCCUCACAGCUAUCUACCCCGUCCCCACACCGUUUGGUCCGUCUGCCUAAAUAAAAUUUCUCCGUGUGGAUAUUCAGACGUGCAAAACAAUGGUUUACAAUGAAGACUACAUUAUUUACAUAGUAGAGUUUAAAAUAAAGAUUAAGAUAAGAGAUGAGAUAGAUAAAGGAUUGUAGAUAGUCUAAUGCCAUCUCUAGCAAAUCUACUAUCUUUUCUUUUAUGUCGUCGUCUAUUUUAAAUUUCACUCUACAAAAAGUGAUGUUGGGGCCUUCGUCUUCCGAAGGUCUUCAAAAACAUGAUUUAACAAUAUUUCUGAGUAUGAUACACAAACAGGUACCUUCGGACUCUAUCAGAACCACAAUCUAAAGAAGGACAAAGAAUACGAAGGUUAGCGUAGAGCCGAAACUGUGCGCAGGGGAGCUUCGGCAUGGUAGCAGAAACGGGAACCGACUUAAAAAGGAAAAGGCUAUUUAGACCUUGAUGGAUUACUAUAGAGUCAUUAGCAAAUGUAAAGGGCAUGAGUGUAAUUGUACAUGGGCUGCGUCCCGUGCCUAUAAAUAGAUGAACAGUGCUCCCGUACUGUUCACGCGGACUUGACAUUUUGCUUUUGCAUCACACUUGUACCCUUACCUUAUUUUGAUCCGAAGGUACAUUUAUAAUUUGAUAUCAUUUCUAUUUUCCAUAGUAAUAAAAUAGAAAUGAGUUGAUAUAUAAUUAUUCAUGUUAUCUUUUACAUUUCAUAUGAUUCUUUCUUCAUUAUUAUAUGUUACAUCGAUGAAGGUAUGUCCUUCAUAACCUUCGUCCGAAGAUCAUUAUAUCCUAAAGGAAAUAAUGCCUCGAAGGACGAAGGGCUUUAACGUUUAACAUUUUUCGUGUUGCCUUGUUCUUAACUCAUAGCAUUUGGGAACAAGUCCCCAACAUUGGCGUUCACCUCCGGUGAAUCCUUUUCGACCACCUUCGGCAAGCAUUGACCUUCAUCAUGCCACCGAAGAAAGCUUCAGCGACAGGGACUGCCGCUCUGCAGCCACUGGACCCGAACCAGGAAACCCUUUCUCUUCGAGAGGCCCGAAGCCAGAAGAGGAAGGCUACUAGUCCAACACCCCAGGAGGACGAGUUGGACCAAGAGAUCAGAAACAUGGAGAUGCUUCAUCAACAAGUACAAAGGAAGAAGGAGAAGAUGGCUCGACUAGCCGACCUUCAAAGGCAGAUUGACGAAGCUACCGAAGAAGUACGCCAUCUUGCUCAAGAUGAACAAGAACGAAGGCCCCAGCACAGGGAGCUUUCAUCAAGAAGGCUUGUUCGAUGAUGAUGGAUGGUAUGAUGAUUUUAAUCAUAGUACCUUUACUUUUGACGAUGCUUCUCCCCUGGCAGCAGAACUGCAGGCUAUCCCAUGGUCCCCAUCGUAUAAGCCACCUCAGCUUCCGAUGUAUGAUGGGCAUUCAGACCCGAAGCAGUUUUUGAUGAGUUAUGAAGCAACUAUAUCUUCAUACGGAGGCAAUACAACUGUCAUGGCCAAGUCCUUCGUUAUGGCAGUGAAGAAUGUGGCUCAAACGUGGUAUUCUUCUCUUCGGCCAGGGACUAUCACUUCAUGGCAGAAGCUCAAGGACAUGCUGGUGACAAGUUUCCAGGGCUUUCAGACGAAGCCAUUCAUAGCUCAGGCUCUGUUCCAAUGCACGCAGGAUCAUGAGGAGUAUCUCCAGACAUACGUCCGAAGAUUCUUGCAUUUGAGAGCACAAGCGCCUAUUGUGUCCAAUGAAAUUGUCAUUGAGGCCAUGAUCAAGGGGCUUCGUCCAGGACCUACUGCCCAGUAUUUUGCUAGAAAGCCUCCACAGACUUUGGAGAAUACAUCCGCGCUGAUAACGAUUUUCGUCAAAGAAGGGAGGAAGCCUAUAGGUUCUCUGAGAUGACCAGGGGCUUCGGAGGGAGAAUCCACCCAAGACAUGUCAGGUCAAUCCACUCCACCUAGAGUGGCGACAGGGGAAGUCAACAACAAAGGCCACAAUAUUCCUCGCAAGCUUCGGGGCAGCAACAAAGCUAUCUUCGGCCGCCAGCUCCAAGGGGCAGAGGCGCCAGGGGCUUUGGAGGAAGGUUUGGCGAUCAACCCAGGAAGAAUUAUUGCUUAUUCUGUGGUGAGGACAAGGGCCAUACUACAAGGAUGUGCUAUGUCACCAUUCAGAAACAGAAGGAAAUAGCAGAAGCUGCAGCUCAGCAGAACCAGCCGAAGCAGGUCAUGCAUACUGCUUCAUAUCACUCACCCUACAUACCAGAGUAUGUGGGUAACCAUCCUGCAAUGUCUGUUGCUUCGGCUAGUCAGCCACAGGCAUCCUGGCCAUAGCCUCCACCUCCGCCACCACUACAACCUGCAUAUUCACGCGGCCAACAGCCAGAAGGGAGUCAACAGACCCAUCAGCAGAGAGACUUUAGGGAGGAGUCCGAAGCUCGCACAGUCAACAGUACUGUGCCAGAGUCGAAGCAUAUCUACUAAGAGAUAUCAUACCUCUGAAUCAGUUUUUACAUUCAUUGUCAUUCUCUUUCUUACUAAGGAACAAUUAUUGAAAACCUAGUUUUCUUGUCGUUUUCAAUUCCUUGUAAUAGCUUCGUUUUUGCCAUAGUGGAAAUAUAUCUUCUCCACAGACUCACGGAGUCCAAAAAGUCGCCGAAGCACAAAACGUCGUUCUAAGGAACGCAGCGUAAGUUGUCGAAGCUACAAAAAGUCGUUCCUAAGGGAGCGCAGUGUAAGUUUUCUGCUCAAAAGUCGUUCCAAAGGGAAUGCAGAGCAAAAUACCGUCGAAAUAUAAGGCGAAGCGCGAAAAGUCAACGCGAAUAUCGUCGAAAUAGAAGGCGAAGAAGUUCAAAAGACGUUCCUAAGGGAAUGCAGAACUUACAGCGAAAAGUCAGCUCUGAUACACCGAAAAAUAAACGGUGAAGCCAAAAAAUAAACGACAAAGAGAUUGUGUAUUCCAAUAUAGGGAUAUGAGUGUGUGUCUUCAGCACAAAGUAUCAUUUUUGCAUAGCAUAAUAUCAUCACAUCAUUUCGCAUAACAUAACAUCAUACAUCAUAUUGCAUCAAUGGCACAAGAAGGGGAUAUAAUGUUGACCUUCGGAGAAUGCUUCGAAAAAGUGAAAUUGUGCUAAGGCACAAAAUAAGUUCUGAAGAGAUAUAGCUUUAUCAGUGUUAUAGCUUUAUCAGUGUUAUCAGCGCUGAUAUAAAAUAAGUGGAGGAAAAAGUCUAUUAUUGACGAAGCAUCAGUGUUAUGGCGACGCUUGGAGCAUUUUUUAUUAAGCACUCUGAUAUCGAGGAAGAAAGUCUAUUACUGACUGUCGGGGACCAUAAUUAGGGGUACCCUCAAGACUCCUAAUUCUCAGCUGGUAACCCCCAUCAGCAUAAAGCUGCAAAGACCUGAUGGGUGCGAUUAAGUCAGGGAUCAGUCCAUUCGAGCGACUCGAUCACGCCUCGCCCGAGCCUAGCCUCGGGCAAGGGCAGCCGACCCCGAGGGAUUUCCGUCUCGCCCGAGGCCCCCUUUCAACGGCGGACACAUCUUCGGCUCGCCCGAGGCCCUGCCUUCGCUAAGAAGCAACCCUGACUAAAUCGCCGCACCGACCGACCAAAUCGCAGGAGCAUUUAACGCAAAGGUGGCCUGACACCUUUAUCCUGACACGCGCCCUCCGGCAGAGCCGAAGUGACCGCUGUCACUUCGCCGCUCCAAUGACUGGUCUGACAGAAGGACAGCGCCGCCUGCGCCACUCCGACUGCAGCGCCACUUGACAGAGUGAUGCUGACAGGGAGCCAGGUCCUGCCAAAGGCACCAUAGGAAGCUCCGCCCGACCUAGGGCUCGAACUCGGGCUCCGCCCCGGAAGACGGCGAACUCCGCUCCGCCCGACCCAGGGCUCGGACUCGGGCUCCGCCCCGCAAGACGGCGAACUCCGCUCCGCCCGACCCAGGGCUCGGACUCGGGCUAAGACCCGGAAGACGGCGAACUCCGCUCCGCCCGACCCAGGGCUCGGACUCGGGCUAAGACCCGGAAGCCGGCGAACUCCGCUCCGCCCGACCCAGGGCUCGGACUCGGGCUAAGACCCGGAAGACGGCGAACUCCGCUCCGCCCGACCCAGGGCUCGGACUCGGGCUCAGCCCCAGAAGACGACGAACUCCGCUUCACCCGACCCCAGGGCUCGGACACCGCCCUGGCCUCUGCCGACGACCUCCGCCUCGCCCGACCCAAGGGCACGGACUCGGCCUCGGCCAUGAAGGACAGACUCGACCUCGGCUUCGGAGGAGCCUCCACGUCGCCCGACCUAGGGCACAGGCCCGCCACGUCAACAGGAAGCGCCAUCAUCACCCUACCCCGAGCCGACUCGGGCCGCAGAGAACAAGACCGGUGUCCCAUCUGGCUAGCUCCGCCAGAUAGGCAAUGAUGGCGCCCCGCUAGCCCUGUGACGACGGCGGCUCUCAGCUCCCUUACGGAAGCAGGGGGACGUCAGCAAGGACCCAACCGCUCCGACAGCUGUCCCUCCGCCAGGCUCCGUUGCUCCUCCGACAGCCACGACAUCACACCAGCAGGGUGCCAAGAUCUCUCCGGCUGCCACAUUGGCAUGUACCUAGGGCGCUAGCUCUUCCCCCGCUAGACACGUAGCACUCUGCUACACCCCCAUUGUACACCUGGAUCCUCUCCUUACGCCUAUAAAAGGAAGGACCAGGGCCUUCUUAGAGAAGGUUGGCCGCGCGGGACGAGGAUGGGACAGGCGCUCUCUUGGGGCCGCUCGCUUCCCUCACCCGCGUGGACGCUUGUAAUCCCCUACUGCAAGCGCACCCGACCUGGGCGCGGGACGAACACGAAGGCCGCGGGAUUCCCAUCUCUCUCGUGCCGGACUCCGGCCUCCUCGCUCCUUUCCCCCCUUUGCGCUCGCCCACGCGCUCGACCCAUCUGAGCUGGGGCACACGGCACUCACUCGUCGGCCUGAGGGACCCCCGGUCUCGAAACGCCGACAGUUGGCGCGCCAGGUAGGGGCCUGCUGCGUGUUGACGAGCAGCUUCCCGUCAAGCUCCAGAUGGGCAGUCUCCAACAACCUCUCCAACCCGGGACGGUGCUCCGUUUCGGGAGCCUUGAGUUCAUGUCCCUCGACGGCAGCUACGGCAUGGUACUCCUUCCACCGCCGCGCGACAGCGACAAUGGCAGCCGACGACCCGCCCGCCGGCGGCGGAAUCGACGACAUCUUCCUCGCGUGGUGGAAGAACAACAUUCGAGCUCGCUCCGUCCUCUCCCCCGCCAACGGAGGAGGAGGCGGAGCAACCAAGGCCAAGCGGGAGGCCGCGCUUCGUCGGCUGUCGAGCGAAUCGACGUCCCCAGCGCCCCAACGGGGGGCGCGUCGGGCGUCGACCUCGCGUUUGAGACGGAGGCGAACGCCGUCCCCCCGCGACACGCCAAUCCCGAGCAAAUGGACGACGCCAGCACGCUCGCGGAGGGCCUGCAGGACGUCGCCCUCGUACCUAAGACGACGGCGCAAUCAGUCCCCGACAUGACUAUGUCGCUCCUCGUCAACCAAAAGGUACUGACUGAUUCCCAUCCUACGUCAUUUCGACUCGGCCUCAACCCGCCUAGCGACCUCGCUUUGGCGGGCACUCUCGUUGAGGCGAGUGCAACCCCUCUGGGGUUUCGUAUGCGGUCGCCUUGGGACCGAUUGACGGACGUCUCGACCUACGGGCCCUCUGGGUCCGAGGAAGAUGACGAUCCUAGCAUCUGCUGGGAUUUCUCUGGAUUUGGCAACCCCAGUGCCAUGCAGGGCUUUAUGACCGCAUGUGACUACUGCCUCUCCGACUGUUCCGACGGUAGCCGCAGCCUUGGCGACGAGGACUGCGGCCCAAGCCACGAAUGUUUCCACGUCGAGCUAGGGGAUCCCUCCGAAGGCAACCAUCUCGGCAUGCCGGAGGACGGUGAUCUCCCUAGGCCGGUGCCUCGCGCCGACAUCCCGCGAGAGCUAGCUGUGGUCCCCGUUCCGGCGGGGGGUCACGACCCACAGCUCGAGCAAGUCCGCGGGGCGCAGGCCAGGCUCAACGAGGGAGCAGGAGCGCUCGAGUCGAUCCGCCGGGACGUCGGGCAGGUAUGGGCGGGCCAACCCCCGGCCGGAGAAAUACGUCAUCUGCCCCAGGGUCUCCAGCACCGCGUCGCCAACGACGUCAGGGUCAGGCCGCCACCCGCAUCCAGCGGGGUCGGUCAGAACCUGGCAGCCGCAGCGAUGCUCCUCCGCGCGAUGCCGGAGCCAUCAACCACCGAGGGUCGGCGAAUCCAGGGAGAGCUCAAGAAUCUUCUGGAAGGCGCUGCGGCCCGAUGGGCCGAGAGCUCUGCCUCCCGAAGGCAGGGAUACCCCUCGGAACCUCAUGCCGCGACUUCCCGAUUCAUGCGGGAAGCCUCGGUCUACACCGGGCGCACGCGCAACACCGCGCCUGCGGCCCCGGGCCACCUCGGCAACGAGCACCAUCGUCGCGACCGUCGGGCCCACCUCGACGAAAGGGUGCGCCGAGGCUACCACCCCAGGCGUGGGGGACGCUACGACAGCGGGGAGGAUCGAAGUCCCUCGCCCGAACCACCCGGUCCGCAGGCCUUCAGUCGGGCCAUCCGACGGGCGCCGUUCCCGGCCCGGUUCCGACCCCCGACUACUAUCACAAAGUACUCGGGGGAAACGAGACCGGAACUGUGGCUCGCAGACUACCGCCUGGCCUGCCAACUGGGUGGAACGGACGACGACAACCUCAACAUCCGCAACCUCCCCCUGUUCCUCUCCGAUACUGCUCGCGCCUGGUUGGAGCACCUGCCUCCGGGGCAGAUCUCCAACUGGGAUGAUUUGGUCCAAGCCUUCGCCGGCAAUUUCCAGGGCACGUACGUGCGCCCCGGGAAUUCCUGGGACCUUCGAAGCUGCCGGCAACAGCCGGGAGAGUCUCUUCGGGACUACAUCCGGCGAUUCUCGAAGCAGCGCACUGAGCUGCCCAACAUCACCGACUCAGAUGUCAUCGGCGCGUUCCUUGCCGGCACCACCUGCCGCGACCUGGUGAGCAAGUUGGGUCGCAAGACCCCCACCAGGGCGAGCGAGCUGAUGGACAUCGCCACCAAGUUCGCCUCUGGCCAGGAGGCGGUCGAGGCCAUCUUCCGAAAGGACAAGCAGCCCCAGGGCCGCCCAUCGGAAGAGGCUCCCGAGGUGUCUACUCCGCGCGGCGCCAAGAAGAAAGGCAAGAAGAAGUCGCAAGCGAAACGCGACGCCGCCGACGCGGACCUUGUCGCUGCCGCCGAGUACAAGAACCCUCGGAAGCCCCCCGGAGGUGCUAACCUCUUCGACAAGAUGCUCAAGGAGCCGUGCCCCUACCAUCAGGGGCCCGUCAAACACACCCUCGAGGAGUGCGUCAUGCUUCGGCGCCACUUCCACAAGGCCGGGCCACCCGCAGAGGGUGGCAGGGCCCGCGACGACGACAAAAAGGAAGAUCACCAAGCAGGAGAGUUCCCUGAGGUCCGCGACUGCUUCAUGAUCUACGGAGGGCAUGCGGCGAAUGCCUCGGCUCGGCAUCGCAAGCAAGAGCGUCGGGAGGUCUGCUCGGUGAAGGUGGCGGCGCCAGUCUACCUAGACUGGUCCGACAAGCCCAUCACCUUCGACCAAGCUGACCACCCCGACCACGUGCCGAGCCCGGGGAAAUACCCGCUCGUCGUCGACCCCAUCGUCGGCGACGUCAGGCUCACCAAGGUCCUGAUGGAUGGGGGCAGCUGCCUCAACAUCAUCUACGCCGAGACCCUCAGGCUCCUGCGCGUCGAUCUGUCCUCCGUCCGAGCAGGCGCUGCGCCCUUCCACGGGAUCAUUCCUGGGAAGCGCGUCCAGCCCCUCGGACGGCUCGACCUUCCCGUCUGCUUCGGAACGCCCUCCAACUUCCGAAGGGAGACUUUGACGUUCGAGGUGGUCGGGUUCCGAGGAACCUACCACGCGGUAUUGGGGAGGCCAUGCUAUGCGAAGUUCAUGGCCGUCCCCAACUACACCUACCUGAAGCUCAAGAUGCCGGGCCCCAAUGGGGUCAUCACCGUUGGCCCCACGUACAAACACGCGUUCGAAUGCGACGUGGAGUGCGUGGAGUACGCCGAGGCCCUCGCCGAGUCCGAGGCCCUCAUCGCCGACCUGGAGAACCUCUCCGAAGAGGUGCCAGACGUGAAGCGACAUGCCGGCAACUUCGAGCCAGCGGAGACGGUUAAGGCUGUCCCUCUCGACCCCAGUGGCGACACCUCCAAGCAGAUCCGGAUCGGUUCCGGGCUCGACCCCAAAUAGGAAGCUGUGCUCGUCGACUUUCUCCGCGCAAACGCCGACGUCUUUGUGUGGAGUCCCUCGGACAUGCCCGGCAUACCGAGGGAUGUCGCCGAGCACUCGCUGGAUAUUCGGGCCGGAGCCCGACCCGUCAGGCAGCCUCUGCGCCGAUUCGACGAGGAGAAGCGCAGAGUGAUAGGCGAGGAGAUCCACAAGCUAAUGGCAGCAGGAUUCAUCAAAGAGGUAUUCCAUCCCGAAUGGCUUGCCAACCCUGUGCUUGUGAGAAAGAAAGGGGGGAAAUGGCGGAUGUGUGUAGACUACACUGUUCUCAACAAAGCAUGUCCGAAGGUUCCCUACCCUCUGCCUCGCAUCGAUCAAAUCGUGGAUUCCACUGCUGGGUGCGAAACCCUGUCCUUCCUCAAUGCCUACUCAGGGUAUCACCAAAUCCGGAUGAAAGAGUCCGACCAGCUCGCGACUUCUUUCAUCACGCCCUUCGGCAUGUACUGCUAUGUCACCAUGUCGUUCGGUUUGAGGAACGCGGGUGCGACGUACCAGCGGUGCAUGAACCAUGUGUUCGGCGAACACAUCGGUCGCACGGUCGAGGCUUACGUCGAUGACAUCAUAGUCAAGACAAGGAAGGCUUCCAACCUCCUCUCCGACCUUGAAGUGACAUUCCGAUGUCUCAAAGCGAAAGGCGUCAAGCUCAAUCCCGAGAAGUGUGUCUUCGGGGUGCCCCGGGGCAUGCUCUUGGGGUUCAUCGUCUCCGAGCGAGGCAUCGAAGCCAACCCGGAGAAGAUCGCAGCCAUCACCAACAUGGGGCCCAUCAAGGACUUAAAAGGUGUACAGAGGGUCAUGGGAUGUCUCGCGGCCCUGAGCCGGUUCAUCUCACGCCUCGGCGAAAGAGGCCUGCCUCUAUACCGCCUCUUAAGGAAGGCCGAGUGCUUCACUUGGACACCUGAGGCCGAGGAAGCUCUCGGGAACCUGAAGGCGCUUCUUACAAAGGCGCCUAUCUUGGUACCCCCAGCUGAUGGAGAAGCCCUCUUGGUCUACGUCGCCGCGACCACUCAGGUGGUUAGCGCCGCGAUUGUGGUCGAGAGGCAAGAAGAGGGGCAUGCAUUGCCCGUUCAGAGGCCAGUUUACUUCGUCAGCGAGGUGCAGUCUGAAACCAAGAUCCGCUACCCACAAGUUCAGAAGCUGCUGUACGCAGUGAUCCUGACGAGGUGGAAGUUGCGACACUACUUCGAGUCUCACCCGGUAACUGUGGUGUCAUCCUUCCCCCUGGGGGAGAUCAUCCCGUGCCGAGAGGCCUCGGGCAGGAUUGCAAAGUGGGCGGUGGAAAUCAUGGGCGAGACAAUCUCGUUCGCCCCUCGGAAGGCCAUCAAGUCCCAGGUCUUGGCGGACUUCGUAGCCGAAUGGGUCGACACCCAGCUACCGACGGCUCCGAUCCAACCGGAGCUCUGGACCAUGUUUUUCGACGGGUCGCUGAUGAAGACAGGAGCCGGCGCGGGCCUGCUCUUCAUCUCGCCCCUCGGGAAACACCUACGCUACGUGCUACGCCUCCAUUUCCCGGCGUCCAACAAUGUGGCUGAGUACGAAGCUCUGAUCAACGGAUUGCGAAUCGCCAUCGAGCUAGGGGUUCGACGCCUCGACGCUCGCGGCGACUCGCAGCUCGUCAUCGACCAAGUCAUGAAGAACUCCCACUGCCGCGACCCGAAGAUGGAGGCCUACUGCGAUGAGGUUCGGCGCCUGGAAGACAAGUUCUACGGGCUCGAGCUUAACCACAUCGCUCGGCGCUACAACGAGACUGCGGACGAGCUGGCAAAAAUAGCCUCGGGGCGAACGACGGUUCCCCCGGACGUCUUCUCCCAGGAUCUGCACCAACCCUCCGUCAAGAUCAACGACACGCCCGAGCCCGAGGCACCCUCGGUCCAGCCCGAGGUACCCUCGGUCCAGCCCGAGGCGUCCUCGGUUCAGCCCGAGGUACCCUCGGCCCCCGAGGGCGAGGCGCUGCGCAUCAAGGAGGAGCGGAGCGGGGCCACGCCUGAUCGAGAUUGGCAGACCCCGUACCUGCAAUAUCUCCGCCAAGGAGAACUACCCCUCGACCAAGCCGAGGCUCGGCGGGUAGCGCGACACGCCAAGUCGUUCGUCUUGCUGGGCGAUGAGAAGGAGCUCUACCACCGCAGCCCCUCGGGCAUCCUCCAGCGAUGCAUCUCCAUCGCCGAAGGUCAGGAACUCCUGCAAGAAAUACACUCGGGGGCUUGCGGCCAUCAUGCAGCGCCUCGAGCCCUCGUCGGGAAUGCUUUCCGGCAAGGCUUCUACUGGCCGACAGCGGUGGCUGACGCCACUAGAAUUGUCCGCACCUGCGAAGGAUGUCAAUUCUAUGCGAAGCAGACCCACCUGCCCGCUCAGGCUCUGCAGACGAUACCCAUCACCUGGCCCUUCGCUGUGUGGGGUCUGGACCUCGUCGGUCCCUUGCAGAAGGCGUCCGGGAGCUACACGCACCUGCUGGUCGCCAUCGACAAAUUCUCCAAGUAGAUCGAGGUCCGACCCCUGAACAGCAUCAGGUCCGAGCAGGCGGUGGCGUUCUUCACCAACAUCAUCCAUCGCUUCGGGGUCCCAAACUCCAUCAUCACCGACAACGGCACCCAGUUCACCGGCAGAAAAUUCUUGGAUUUUUGCGAGGAUCACCACAUCCGGGUGGACUGGGCCGCCGUGGCUCAUCCCAUGUCGAAUGGGCAAGUAGAGCGUGCCAACGGCAUGAUUCUACAAGGGCUCAAGCCUCGGAUUUACAACGACCUCAACAACUUCGGCAAGCGAUGGAUGAAGGAACUCCCCUCGGUGGUCUGGAGCCUGAGGACAACGCCGAGCCGAGCCACGGGUUUCACGCCGUUCUUCCUGGUCUACGGGGCCGAGGCCGUCCUGCCCGCUGACCUGGAAUACGGCUCCCCGAGGAUGAGGGCCUACGACGAUCAAAGCAACCAGGCUAGCCGAGAAGACUCGCUGGACCAGCUGGAAGAGGCUCGGGACAGGGCCUUACUACACUCGGCGCGGUAUCAGCAGUCCCUGCGGCGCUACCACGCCCGAGGGGUCCGACCCCAAGACCUCCAGGUGGGCGACCUGGUGCUUCGGCUGCGGCAAGACACCCGAGGGAGGCACAAGCUCACGCCCCCCUGGGAGGGGCCGUUCGUCAUCGCCAAAGUUCUGAAGCCCGAAACGUACAAGCUGGCCAACAAUCAAGGUGAGGUCUACGACAACGCUUGGAACAUCCAACAGCUACGUCGCUUCUACCCUUAAGAUGUUUCCAAGUUGUUCAUAUACCUCGCACCCAGGCGGCGCUUCUGGCAGGAGCAGCGGGCGACGCUUCGCCUUCGCCGAAACAACCGCGCCAAAAAAGGUACGCCUCGUCGUUCGGUUUCGUAUCCUUUUUCCUUUUUCCUCUUUCUCUAUCUCUUGCGACAGGGACCGGGAAAGGGGGAUACCCCGAAAGGGAUCCUUCCCCAUGAAGGAACCAGGCUCCGAGCCUCCUUACUGAUCAGGGGUUCGAAGGCUGGCCCCCCGAAGGGUUCAACAGCCGCCUCAGAUCGCGUGGGCCCUACACCCACUACUGGUCAGAGGUUCGAAGGCCGGCCCCCCGAAGGGUUCCACGGCCGCCUCAGGCUACUCGGGCUCCGUGCCCAUUACUGAUCAGGGGUUCGAAGGCUGGCCCCCGAAGGGUUCACAGCCGCCUCAGACGCCGAGCGAGGGAUGACCAGGGGUACGUUCGAUACAUAACCAAGGCUCGGGCUGCGCUCCCGAGGUACCCUAGGACAUUUCCGAGACCAGCGGGAGCGAUCUUGUAACGGAAUCCCAUCGGAGGGAGGCAUCGAGCCCUCGGACCCCGUCGCCAGGGGACCGGGUCCGGCAGAUCACCCGCAGGUACUUUUGGGCGUGCCUCUGGGCCCCUAGCCGACCCCUCACGAACGGGGCACGGACGUCCACUCGGAUUACCCGCUUGCAGCUCACCGGAGACACCAUGUUCGGCGCCCAUCGAGGGUAACAUGGCGCUCUCCCCCCCCCCUCCUCCUUGCGGAAAGGCGACGCAGGGGCGUAUGUAAAAAAGCCGAGUCUGUCCCUGAUCGCCCUCUUGCCCUGUGCAGAGGCUCGGGGGCUGCUCUCGCAAACCCGGCUCCGGCCGAACCGUUGACAGCGUCAACAUACCAGCCCGAGAACUUGGGCCCCGACCGUACACCCGGGCUACGGCCAGCUCGCAUGAGGGAACAACCAGACCAGCCGAAGCAUUACGCAAGGCAUUAAGACCUCGAAGGAGUGAAACCACUCCUCCGAGGCCUCGGGGGCUACACCCGGCGGGUGCGCUCGCGCGCACCCACCGGAACAAAAUGCAACCGAGAAAGGCUGGUCCCCUUGCAAAAAAGUGCGACGAAAGCCUCCAAGCGAGUGCUAACACUCCCUUCGAGGCUCGGGGGCUACUGUCGGGGACCAUAAUUAGGGGUACCCUCAAGACUCCUAAUUCUCAGCUGGUAACCCCCAUCAGCAUAAAGCUGCAAAGGCCUGAUGGGUGCGAUUAAGUCAGGGAUCAGUCCAUUCGAGCGACUCGAUCAUGCCUCGCCCGAGCCUAGCCUCGGGCAAGGGCAGUCGACCCCGAGGGAUUUCCGUCUCGCCCGAGGCCCCCUUUCAACAGCGGACACAUCUUCGGCUCGCCCGAGGCCCUGCCUUCGCUAAGAAGCAACCCUGACUAAAUCGCCGCAUCGACCGACCAAAUCGCAGGAGCAUUUAACGCAAAGGUGGCCUGACACCUUUAUCCUGACACGCGCCCUCUGGCAGAGCCGAAGUGACCGCCGUCACUUCGCCGCUCCACUGACUGGUCUGACAGAAGGACAGCGCCGCCUGCGCCACUCCGACUGCAGCGCCACUUGACAGAGUGAUGCUGACAGGGAGCCAGGUCCUGCCAAAGGCACCAUAGGAAGCUCCGCCCGACCCAGGGCUCGGACUCGGGCUCCGCCCUGGAAGACGGCGAACUCCGCUCCGCCCGACCCAGGGCUCGGACUCGGGCUCCGCCCCGGAAGACGGCGAACUCCGCUCCGCCCGACCCAGGGCUCGGACUCGGGCUAAGACCCGGAAGACGGCGAACUCCGCUCCGCCCGACCCAGGGCUCGGACUCGGGCUAAGACCCGGAAGACGGCGAACUCCGCUCCGCCCGACCUAGGGCUCGGACUCGGGCUCAGCCCCAGAAGACGAUGAACUCCGCUUCACCCGACCCCAGGGCUCGGACACCGCCCUGGCCUCUGCCGACGACCUCCGCCUCGCCCGACCCAAGGGCUCGGACUCGGCCUCGGCCAUGAAGGACAAACUCGACCUCGGCUUCGGAGGAGCCUCCACGUCGCCCGACCUAGGGCACAGGCCCGCCACGUCAACAGGAAGCGCCAUCAUCACCCUACCCCGAGCCGACUCGGGCCACAGAGAACAAGACCGGUAUCCCAUCUGGCUAGCUCCGCCAGAUAGGCAAUGAUGGCGCCCCGCUAGCCCUGUGACGACGGCGGCUCUCAGCUCCCUUACGGAAGCAGGGGGACGUCAGCAAGGACCCAACCGCUCCGACAGCUGUCCCUCCGCCAGGCUCCGUUGCUCCUCCGACAGCCACGACAUCACACCAGCAGGGUGCCAAGAUCUCUCUGGCUGCCACAUUGGCAUGUACCUAGGGCGCUAGCUCUUCCCCCGCUAGACACGUAGCACUCUGCUACACCCCCAUUGUACACCUGGAUCCUCUCCUUACGCCUAUAAAAGGAAGGACCAAGGCCUUCUUAGAGAAGGUUGGCCGCGCGGGACGAGGACGGGACAGGCGCUCUCUUGGGGCCGCUCGCUUCCCUCACCCGCGUGGACGCUUGUAAUCCCCUACUACAAGCGCACCCGACCUGGGCGCGGG
rnacentral:lncRNA from 1 species